CAGACCAGUCCAGAGCUCGGCCCACUCACCAAGGUUGGAGAGUGUCAAAAACACCGCCUGGUGUGCGCAACAGUAUCCUCCUUGGACAAGUGUGUUAAUUGUGUGGGACCCGUAUCUUCCUUCAAGUGGUUUGGCUAUCGAUGCACAGUUUGUUCAGGGGUCUGGCAUAAAUCCUGCCUCAAGCAAAUUACAGGAGAUUACUUGCACAGCACAGGCACAGCAGUCUUCUGAGGCUUCUGAGGAUGAACGGAUGUCAGAUCAGGACAAAAUUCCACAUCCACAAUUGGACGAAAUAUCAUCUGAUGAUGCUGAGGACAUGUCUGACAAGGAAUACAUACCUGACUCUGAGGAUGAUGAAUAUGAUUCAGAUGCCAGCAUACACUUAAUGUCAAGUAAGGCAAGAGCUGCACAUAUUCAAGUAAAAACGGUAAUACCUGAUGUUGGAACAUCUUAUGGGUCAGACAUAGGCACCCCAGUUGUGCCCAGUACAUCACAAUGUUGGCCACCCCUUAAAAAUAAGAUGAUUCCCAAUGCUGCUGACACAUCUAAUUCAGCGAAUUCAUCAAAGGAAAAGCCAGAGGAAGAAACUGUGACUCAUGAACAAGAAUUACCACAUCUGAUUAUGAGUAAAAAGAAUUACUGUUAGGUUUGUGGUAAGCCACAAAGCAAAAUUUCCCGCCACUUGAAAACACACAAGACACAUGCUGAAAUUGUCCAUGCAUUUUCCCUUCCUGAGGACUCAAAAGAGCGCAAGAUAUUA